UGAGGGGAGUGGUUUCUAUGCAAAGAUUAACUGUUAGAAGUUUAUCACAAUUAAUAUCAGUAACAGAAAGAGAGGAAUUGCAGAUAGACUAGGAAAACCCACUAAUUUUGAUGGAUAACCAUCCAGCUGGGACAUUGUCAAAUCAGCUGAUCCUGUUGUAACUCAGGUGAUUUAAAAAACUGACUGAAAUAAUUUCCAAGCUACUAACAACUGUUUUUGAGCAUACACUAGAGAAUAGUGAAAUUCAAGAGGCUGAAUUUUAGCAAUUAUAGAGCCUAUGUUCAGGAAAAAGAAAGUGUCAGGGAUUUGAAGAGGAAUAAUCUUAACUUCAGUUCCUGGAAAAGUACUGGAACAAUAAUCAGCUAAACUAUUUGUAAGCACUUGGAAGAUAACAGGGAGCAGGCUGAGAUUGUAGGCACUGCAGCUCAGUCCCGAGUGGCACAACACUAUCCAUGAGCAGAGCAAGGACUGGAACAGGCUGUCUGAGGACAUUGUGGACUCUCUGACACUGGAAACUGAGGAGACCAGCAUUAGACAAUCACCUGCCAAGAAGACUUUGGAUAUAGUCAGUCUUCUUGCGGAGAAAGAUGUGGUGACUGUGAGGUUUCUUUCACUCUGUUUUCCAUGGGCUAUGAUAAAUAUAAGCUAACAGUAAAACACUGUAUUUUUGCCCUUUAAAUUCAGUAUGUGGAAAAUUUUUCUGAAACAAGAUUUUCAUAGUAUCUUGUUGCUAAAGAGACCACAUUUUAGGCAAGGAAAAUGGAGCAGUUGAAAACAUCCAUAAUGUCUUCAGUGCCUGCUGUGUUACACUGAGAAAUAAAACAAAAUGUUCCGAAACUAUAGAGUAUAGCACAUAGUUUGGUUAGUUCAUUUGGAUGUGGCUUUCAACAACCAUAUACUUAGUGGAAGUAUCUUAUAAGCUUCAGGGGAUUUACUAGCCACCAGGGAUAACUGGACUUUCUUAUUGAAAGAGAUAGGAUCUAACUGCCUAAGCAAUGCCACGGGCUGUCACUUUGGUGAGGAGACCUCUAAAUUAAGAGUGACAGGGAAGGGAAAGGAUGAUCAGCAAUAAAGUGAGGAAGUGAUGGAGUGUUAGAGCAAAGGUUAUGGUGUGAUACAAAGCAAUCCAGGAGGUUUCUGAAGUGCAUUGAUUACAUGGGUAAUCCCUACGGGUGCAUGGUCUACUGUACUUGCAAACAAAGAUCUUCUAGAGAAUGUGGGGAAUGGGGACAACUUCUGCUGCAGCAAGCAUGAAACAUCAGAGUUCAGGAUACUAAGACAAGGGAAUAAGACAAAAAGCAGUGUCAUGGUCCUGAAUUUCAGGAGAAAAACUUUGACCUGUUCAGAUACCCACUUCUGAAGAUAAAAGGAGACCACGUGAGCUGGUAGAUAUUCAAGAAUUACCUUCUUCCAGCUCAAGAAACUUCCAUAUCCAUGUACUUGAAUUUAGGCAAAGACAUAAGCUGGCCUGCAUGACUGAGCAAAUGAUCUUCAUAAAACUCAGAAACAAAGGAAGGAUGGAAGCAAGGGCAGGAAGGAAUAUGCAGACAUCUUAAGUGUUCAAGGAAAGAGCUAGACAAACCAAAAUCCACCUGAAGUUUUAAAUUCAGAGCUUUUUUAAGAGUACAUUGUCCAUUAGACACAAUCAUUCAGCUCUGAAGAGACAUAUCUAAUCUCAAGGAUUAUCUCAACUAAUUUGUGAGAAAUGCAAAAAAAUCUCAAAAUCUAUGAAGUAUCACUUCAGAACAGAAUUGGGUUUUAACUUCACGUGUAUGAGUAUAUUCCCUUUGGACGUCUCCACAGAAAUUAGUUAUUCUGAAAGCAUCUUUCCAUUAAUAUACGGGUACAAUUCUUGCUCCACAACUCAGCUAGUUCAUGGUACUCAUAUUAAGUAGGAAACAUAGUUUAUUUUCUUAUGAUCCAUGAAAUUUUUCGUUUUUCUUUGUAUCCCACUUGAGAACACACUAACCAUUUUAGAGAAUUCCUGGUAUUAAAUCAACUUUCAGCAAUAAGUAGUAAGUUGACUUUUUAAAAAAGAAUAUUCUUUUAAAAGGUUCAUGAAGACAAGAACCUAUAUUCUGUUUAGAAAAAGUAGGGCAGAAGCCUUGCUUACAAGUAUAACAGAGAAGUACAACGAAAGAUGACAUUUAGAACCUAAAAGCAGAAUAACAGAGGCAGGAGUAUUAUACUAUUUUACCAGGGGAGUGUUACUGACUACUGAAACAGGUUUUAGUGGUGGGAAGAACUUGUUACCAUAAACACCUCUAAAUUAAGACUGAGUGACUUUCUAUGGCAGGUUGCAGACAUGACAAAGCAAUCUUUAGGUGCAUAAAUUAGGAAAUUAUUAUGCUGAAGUGUUUGUAUUUUAUGCACACUUUCUUUUGGGUCCAAUCUCAAAAGUUAAACAGUUUUUCUCCUGGUGAAAGGCCUGCAGUAGUGUUCCAACAAGACCACCCCAAAUGCAGUGUGAAUACAAGGUCCUCCAGCACAUGUAUGGUACAGGCCCAAGACCAUUAUCUUUUCACUACCAGAAAAAUUGUUGGCAUAAGGUCCAGGAACCAUAAUAAAGCACAGUAAAUCAAA